rnacentral:sRNA from 17 species
CCCGUCCAGUCCAAACCGCGCGCGGAGAGAGUUUCGGAGGAACGCGAGGAAGGGGCCCGAGGCCUUCUCGGCGCGCGAAACUGAAAUAACGAAU